rnacentral:rRNA from 1 species
AUUGAACGCUGGCGGCAGGCUUAACACAUGCAAGUCGAGCGGGGUGAUGGUGCUUGCACUAUCACUUAGCGGCGGACGGGUGAGUAAUGCUUAGGAAUCUGCCUAUUAGUGGGGGACAACAUCUCGAAAGGGAUGCUAAUACCGCAUACGUCCUACGGGAGAAAGCAGGGGAUCACUUGUGACCUUGCGCUAAUAGAUGAGCCUAAGUCGGAUUAGCUAGUUGGUGGGGUAAAGGCCUAUCAAGGCGACGAUCUGUAGCGGGUCUGAGAGGAUGAUCCGCCACACUGGGACUGAGACACGGCCCAGACUCCUACGGGAGGCAGCAGUGGGGAAUUUUGGACAAUGGGCGAAAGCCUGAUCCAGCAAUGCCGCGUGUGUGAAGAAGGCCUUCGGGUUGUAAAGCACUUUUGUCCGGAAAGAAAUGGCUCUGGUUAAUACCUGGGGUCGAUGACGGUACCGGAAGAAUAAGGACCGGCUAACUACGUGCCAGCAGCCGCGGUAA